CACACUGCAGGCUCUGUCCCGACCCGGCCGGCUGGAGUAGCACCGCCACCUGGUGGACUCGCUAUGGUCAAAGAUCCCGUUCAAGCACAUUGAGUUCCUCCCCAGGAGACCAGAGGGCCCAGAGAGGUUCCAGGGGGUUCCGCAGCCCUGGGAGGCUCUGAGCAACCAGAAGACGGAUGACUCAAUCUCCCAUCCGCAGGCUGUGCGCGUCCCGGGAGGAGGACCCGGCAGAUGUGAGAGGAGGAAGAUGGAAGUCCUUCAGAGAGCUGACCUGGCCUUGAAUGUAAAAACUGAAUAUUAAGAAUAAAUGAGGAAGUGAUGGACAGGGGAAUAAAAC
rnacentral:lncRNA from 1 species